GGCCUACACAUGCAAGUCGAGGGGUAGAGGGUGCUUGCACCCUUGAGACCGGCGCACGGGUGCGUAACGCGUAUGCAACCUACCUAUUGCAGGGGAAUAGCCCAGGGAAACUUGGAUUAAUGCCCCAUAGUCCAUAUUGAGAGCAUUUGAGAUAUGGUAAAGAUUUAUCGGCAAUAGAUGGGCAUGCGUCCCAUUAGCUAGUUGGUAUGGUAACGGCAUACCAAGGCUACGAUGGGUAGGGGCCCUGAGAGGGGGAUCCCCCACACUGGUACUGAGACACGGACCAGACUCCUACGGGAGGCAGCAGUGAGGAAUAUUGGACAAUGGGCGGGAGCCUGAUCCAGCCAUGCCGCGUGCAGGAAGACUGCCCUAUGGGUUGUAAACUGCUUUUUUACGGGAAGAAACACCCCCACGUGUGGGGGCUUGACGGUACCGUACGAAUAAGGACCGGCUAACUCCGUGCCAGCAGCCGCGGUAAUACGGAGGGUCCGAGCGUUAUCCGGAAUCAUUGGGUUUAAAGGGUCCGUAGGCGGGCGUCUAAGUCAGUGGUGAAAUCUCGCGGCUCAACCGUGAAAUUGCCAUUGAUACUGGUCGCCUUGAAUUAGUGUGAAGUGGCUAGAAUAUGUAGUGUAGCGGUGAAAUGCUUAGAUAUUACAUAGAAUACCGAUUGCGAAGGCAGGUCACUAACACUAUAUUGACGCUGAUGGACGAAAGCGUGGGGAGCGAACAGGAUUAGAUACCCUGGUAGUCCACGCCGUAAACGAUGGAUACUAGCUGUCCGGCCUGCAUUGGUAGGCUGGGUGGCCAAGCGAAAGUGAUAAGUAUCCCACCUGGGGAGUACGUUCGCAAGAAUGAAACUCAAAGGAAUUGACGGGGGCCCGCACAAGCGGUGGAGCAUGUGGUUUAAUUCGAUGAUACGCGAGGAACCUUACCAGGGCUUAAAUGUAGUCUGACAGGGGUGGAAACACCCCCUUCUUCGGACAGACUGCAAGGUGCUGCAUGGUUGUCGUCAGCUCGUGCCGUGAGGUGUCAGGUUAAGUCCUAUAACGAGCGCAACCCCUGUCGUUAGUUGCCAGCAUGUAAAGAUGGGAACUCUAACGAGACUGCCGGUGCAAACCGUGAGGAAGGUGGGGAUGACGUCAAAUCAUCACGGCCCUUACGUCCUGGGCCACACACGUGCUACAAUGGCAGGUACAAUGGGCAGCCACGCCGCAAGGCGGAGCGAAUCCACAAAACCUGUCUCAGUUCGGAUCGGGGUCUGCAACUCGACCCCGUGAAGCUGGAAUCGCUAGUAAUCGGAUAUCAGCCAUGAUCCGGUGAAUACGUUCCCGGGCCUUGUACACACCGCCCGUCAAGCCAUGGAAGCUGGAAGCACCUGAAGUCCGUCACCGCGAGGAGCGGCCUA
rnacentral:rRNA from 1 species